CAACACAAAAGGCUGAAUGUUAGAGGCACAGACUGGAGGCGAUGGUGAGCGAGGAGGCUGCGAGGGACUCAAGUCUUGCAUUCUCCUAACUGCAGCCAUGCCUACUGUGGUCAAGGUUCUUUACCAUCCGGAAGCUGAGGAGAUGCCCAUGGACAUAAGUGAUUUACAAGAAUACUGUGUCGACAGCUGACUUUUCCUCUUACCGCGACAACGCUGAGGAGCACACGGCUUACCUCCCGGUCUUCCGCAGAAUGAGACACUAUUUUGGCCUCUAAUGUCACAAAGUCUAGGCCAAAUCCCUACAAUUUGAGUUCAUGAACUGGUGGACCUACCAGAACACACAUUGAGUUCCUCUGCUAAAGCAUGGGGGGGACAGGAUCAGAGUCUCUCACAGAGAGACUCCAGGGCGGUGAAGGAGGAGCCUACCUCUCCAACAAUACCUCUUCCCCCAACAACCAGGUGGAAGAUCCUUUAACUGGUUCAGAGUGCACACACACAGCCAGCUGGAGGCUUUGGAAACAAAACACAAUACAUGAAAAACUAGAACUCUCCCAGGACAAUGCAAUCGAUUCGGAGAAACAGCCCGGCAGAACCAUGUUCGCGCUCACACUCACUUCAGAAUACCUACAAGCACUAGAGCACAAUGCCCAGCUAUUCAUCACUGCAUUCCUGGAGGCUGUUAGCACAGAGUUCCUGAGACUCAUCAAGGGCUGAGGACCUGACGCUCGUUUUUGUUGCUUGCUGAAUAGUAUUCCAUCGUAUGGAUGUGCCACAGUUUAUCUGCUUUCCUGAUUAUUUCCAGUUGUGGACAAACAUGAAUUAAGUUGCUAUGGAUACUCUAAACAAGUCUCUCCCUUUUUUUAAAUAGACAUUGUUUUCACCUACUAUCUUGGAUAAAUACUUGGGCAUGAAUACGCUGGGUCACAGAACGCGAGCCACUCGGUGACCUUCCAGGAAGAAGAGUGGCCAGCCCCUGGUCAAGUGAUACUCAGGAAAGGGAGGAAGGUGUCACUGCAGCUGAGGUCACACGCUGGUUAGAAUUACACACUUCUGUCAAACAGGCAGGCAGACCGAGCAGCAAGCCAUGAAAUUCUACCUUCUGGAAGGAACCGGCAAAGCCAGAACACCGCGGGGGUCCUCCAACACUCAUUACAGGCCCACUUGGUUUGGGUUAAUGUACCAUGAGCUCCAAGUCAACAUGCAAAGCAGGGAUAAAUUUUGGGAGAAAUG